GAGGAUAUAGCUCAAUGGUAGGGUGUGUGCCUCGCAUGCAUGAGGUCCUGGGUUCAAUCCCCAGGGCCUCC
rnacentral:tRNA from 1 species